ensembl:snRNA U6 U6 spliceosomal RNA
GUGCUCACUUUGGCAGCACAUAUCCCCAAAUUGGAACAAUACGGAGAAGAUUAGCGUGGCCCCUGCUUAAGGAUGACACACAAAUUCGUGAGGCGUUCUGCACUUUG